rnacentral:rRNA from 1 species
UACGUAGGGAGCAAGUGUUGUCCGGAAUCAUUGGGCGUAAAGCGCGCGCAGGUGGUUUCUUAAGUCUGAUGUGAAAGCCCACGGCUCAACCGUGGAGGGUCAUUGGAAACUGGGGAACUUGAGUGCAGAAGAGGAAAGUGGAAUUCCAAGUGUAGCGGUGAAAUGCGUAGAGAUUUGGAGGAACACCAGUGGCGAAGGCGACUUUCUGGUCUGUAACUGACACUGAGGCGCGAAAGCGUGGGGAGCGAACAGG